CCCCCAGUCCCUCUAUCUAAUCAUUCAGUCAGAGCUCCUCUCUCUCCCCCAUUCCCCACAUCUAAUCAUUCAGUCAGAGCUCCUCUCUCUCCCCAUUCCCCCAUCUAAUCAUUCAGUCAGAGAUCCUCUCUCUCUCCCCAUUCCCCCAUCUAAUCAUUCAGUCAGAGCUCCUCUCUCUCCCCCAUUCCCCACAUCUAAUCAUUCAGUCAGAGCUCCUCUCUCUCCCCAUUCCCCAUCUAAUCAUUCAGUCAGAGCUCCUCUCUCUCCCCAUUCCCCCAUCUAAUCAUUCAGUCAGAGAUCCUCUCUCUCUCCACCCAUUCCCCCAUCUAAUCAUUCAGUCAGAGCUCCUCUCUCUCCACCCAUUCCCCACAUCUAGUCAUUCAGUCAGAGCUCCUCUCUCUCCACCCAUUCCCCACAUCUAAUCAUUCAGUCAGAGCUCCUCUCUCUCCACCCAUUCCCCACAUCUAAUCAUUCAGUCAGAGCUCCUCUCUCUCCACCCAGUCCCCACAUCUAAUAAUACAGUCAGAGCUCCUCUCUCUCCCUCCAUUCCCCACAUCUAAUCAUUCAGUCAGAGCUCCUCUCUCUCCCCCAUAUCUAAUCAUUCAGUCAGAGCUCCUCUCUCUCCCCCCAUCCCCCUAUCUAAUCAUUCAGUCAGAGCUCCUCUCUCUCCCCCAGUCCCCCUAUCUAAUCAUUCAGUCAGAGCUCCUCUCUCUCCCCA
ensembl:lncRNA